GACGAACGCUGUCGGCGUGCUUAACACAUGCAAGUCGAACGGAAAGGCCCUGCUUUUGUGGGGUGCUCGAGUGGCGAACGGGUGAGUAACACGUGAGUAACCUGCCCUUGACUUUGGGAUAACUUCAGGAAACUGGGGCUAAUACCGGAUAGGAGCUCCUGCUGCAUGGUGGGGGUUGGAAAGUUUCGGCGGUUGGGGAUGGACUCGCGGCUUAUCAGCUUGUUGGUGGGGUAGUGGCUUACCAAGGCUUUGACGGGUAGCCGGCCUGAGAGGGUGACCGGCCACAUUGGGACUGAGAUACGGCCCAGACUCCUACGGGAGGCAGCAGUGGGGAAUAUUGCACAAUGGGCGGAAGCCUGAUGCAGCAACGCCGCGUGCGGGAUGACGGCCUUCGGGUUGUAAACCGCUUUCGCCUGUGACGAAGCGUGAGUGACGGUAAUGGGUAAAGAAGCACCGGCUAACUACGUGCCAGCAGCCGCGGUGAUACGUAGGGUGCGAGCGUUGUCCGGAUUUAUUGGGCGUAAAGGGCUCGUAGGUGGUUGAUCGCGUCGGAAGUGUAAUCUUGGGGCUUAACCCUGAGCGUGCUUUCGAUACGGGUUGACUUGAGGAAGGUAGGGGAGAAUGGAAUUCCUGGUGGAGCGGUGGAAUGCGCAGAUAUCAGGAGGAACACCAGUGGCGAAGGCGGUUCUCUGGGCCUUUCCUGACGCUGAGGAGCGAAAGCGUGGGGAGCGAACAGGCUUAGAUACCCUGGUAGUCCACGCUGUAAACGGUGGGUACUAGGUGUGGGGUCCAUUCCACGGGUUCCGUGCCGUAGCUAACGCUUUAAGUACCCCGCCUGGGGAGUACGGCCGCAAGGCUAAAACUCAAAGGAAUUGACGGGGCCCCGCACAAGCGGCGGAGCAUGCGGAUUAAUUCGAUGCAACGCGUAGAACCUUACCUGGGUUUGACAUGGAUCGGGAGUGCUCAGAGAUGGGUGUGCCUCUUUUGGGGUCGGUUCACAGGUGGUGCAUGGCUGUCGUCAGCUCGUGCCGUGAGAUGUUGGGUUAAGUCCCGCAACGAGCGCAACCCUUGUUCACUGUUGCCAGCACGUUAUGGUGGGGACUCAGUGGAGACCGCCGGGGUCAACUCGGAGGAAGGUGGGGAUGACGUCAAGUCAUCAUGCCCCUUAUGUCCAGGGCUUCACGCAUGCUACAAUGGCUGGUACAGAGAGUGGCGAGCCUGUGAGGGUGAGCGAAUCUCGGAAAGCCGGUCUCAGUUCGGAUUGGGGUCUGCAACUCGACCUCAUGAAGUCGGAGUCGCUAGUAAUCGCAGAUCAGCAACGCUGCGGUGAAUACGUUCCCGGG
rnacentral:rRNA from 1 species